GACGAACGCUGGCGGCGUGCCUAAUACAUGCAAGUCGAGCGGACUUUCAAGAAGCUUGCUUUUUGAAAGUUAGCGGCGGACGGGUGAGUAACACGUGGGCAACCUGCCUGCAAGACGGGGAUAACUCCGGGAAACCGGGGCUAAUACCGGAUAAUAUCUUCCUUCGCAUGAAGGAAGGUUGAAAGGCGGCGCAAGCUGGCGCUUGCAGAUGGGCCCGCGGCGCAUUGGCUAGUUGGUGAGGUAACGGCUCACCAAGGCGACGAUGCGUAGCCGCCCUGAGAGGGUGGUCGGCCACACUGGGACUGAGACACGGCCCAGCCGCCUACGGGAGGCAGCCGUAGGGAAUCUUCCGCAAUGGACGAAAGUCUGACGGAGCAACGCCGCGUGAGCGAAGAAGGUCUUCGGAUCGUAAAGCUCUGUUGUCAGGGAAGAACAAGUACCGUUCGAACAGGGCGGUACCUUGACGGUACCUGACCAGAAAGCCACGGCUAACUACGUG
rnacentral:rRNA from 1 species